UACGUAGGGUCCGAGCGUUGUCCGGAAUUAUUGGGCGUAAAGGGCUCGUAGGCGGUCUGUCGCGUCGGGCGUGAAAACUCAGGGCUCAACCCUGAGCGUGCUUCCGAUACGGGCAGACUAGAGGUAUGCAGGGGAGAACGGAAUUCCUGGUGUAGCGGUGGAAUGCGCAGAUAUCAGGAGGAACACCGGUGGCGAAGGCGGUUCUCUGGGCAUGACCUGGCGCUGAGGAGCGAAAGCAUGGGGAGCGAACAGG
rnacentral:rRNA from 1 species